AAAAGCNUCGAGGAUAAUUUUAUUUUACACACUGUUGAUACCUCACAAUUCUUCGCGUAUGUGAAGACAGAGUGAUAAUUCUGUUGUACUUUCUUAUGAAUGACACAGUGAACGGAAGCUUAUGGAAUUCUCAUGCAGAAACGGUGCUGAUCUGAAGAAAAUCUCGUUGACGAUUACGUUAGAAAGAAAGAUUUCCAAAGUAACUGAAGAUGAUUUCUCAGGUAACUUUCUUGUUAUAUCGAAUGGUCCUAGAGAUUGGUUUGUGGAGUGUGCUUACAAUUAUUGAAAGUGCUUUACGUUUGCUUGUUGAAUGAAGUUUUUUGACUUAAUGUAGACAAACGUAAGUAAAUCUUUCAUUUUUUCACGCAUUGUUAAAACCAUAAUUUUUAAGAAAUGGUUGUUUUUUUUUAAAUUUUAAAUUCUUCAAUCAAAGCUGUAAAAUAUGAAAAUAAAAGGAAAGGAUCUUCGUAAAAUACAGUAUUAUCUGAUCUACUUCUUUCUAAACAUAGCUGAUAAAUCUAUUUUAAAUAUCGUAUUACUAAUUAAUUAAUGCAUUUCACACAUAUACUUAUUCCUGUUCAAGAAAAUUAACUUAACUUAAAAACGUUUAUUUUUCAGAUCUCGAACCCAGCUUUAAUUUUGUGGCGUGUCCAAGAAAGAAUUUCUAAAAUUAUUUAAUUUGAUUUAUAAAAUAACGUAUGACGUCAUUCUCGUAUCUGAUUUCAUUCAAAACUUUAUUUUUAGAUUCACUACCAAUUAAUAAACAGAAGAGUAACAAACGAAGAAUUGUUUCCAGGAAAAAGGAUGAGUCGAGGAAUGCGUUUAACUUCUGUUUACAGAAGACUAAAUUGAAGACAGUGAUAAGAAAUUAUAUUAGAAUAUGAAGAAAGGAAGAAUAUAUGUCAAGCAAAUGAAGAGAAAAAGAAAAUGAAAUGAAGAUAUCUUAAAUAAUUUUCAAAUACAUUAUUUGUUAAAAUACACUUUAUAUAAAUUGUUUGAGAUAAAUGUAUAAAUUACAUUUAUUUGUGAUAGUAUGUUUAUACUGCUUGAAAAUAUUCGCAAAUACUGGUGUUUAAAAAAGAAUAAGAAGUCAAGAAAAAGGAAGUCAAGAAAGAGGAAGUAUCGAUGUGGCAGUUGCGAGAAAGAAUAUAUUUCGAAAAAUGGGUUAAAA